UAUUUGAGAUAGGAAUAAUGUCAUACAACUUUCAUCUUAUUCUUACCAGAUAAGCCACUUGCAUCUUGCAAGAUACGCCACUUACCAUCUUUAUCUUUUAUGUAUAAGUACAUAUAUGCAAAUCAUUUUCUUUCACACACAUCACCAUAGACAUCCUAAAUUCUCUACACACACCAACACCACAUAGGAUGGAGGAGUCCGAGGGGGGAGAUUUGCACACAACUGUAGAGUCAAGCACUACAAUCCAACCAUACUUUAUUUCCACAUCAAAGGUUAUCUCCGCAAGUAAGGUCGGAGUAAGAAAUUCAAGUUAAAGGAACUAAACGAUGAAGGUUGAGCAGCGAAGUGGUGGAGGAAGUGCUAUUGAGACAAGACA